UGCGUAGGUGGCAGAUCAAGUCUGGAGUAAAAGGUAUGGGCUCAACCCGUACUGGCUCUGGAAACUGAUCAGCUAGAGAACAGAAGAGGACGGCGGAACUCCAUGUGUAGCGGUAAAAUGCGUAGAUAUAUGGAAGAACACCGGUGGCGAAGGCGGCCGUCUGGUCUGGAUUCUGACACUGAAGCACGAAAGCGUGGGAGCGAACA
rnacentral:rRNA from 1 species